GGCAGGGAGAGAGGGCAGAAGAGCAGAGCAGAAAAGGAGCUCUAGAAGCAGAGCAGGAGGUGAAUGGCUCUGAAAAUUUGUCUCAGAAUGCACAGAGACCCCCGUGUGCAGGGGCCGCCCUGGGCGAUGUGUGAGCCUCUGUGGUCACAGCUCCCACUGGACAAGUUUCCACUGAAGGGACAAGGACAAUGGAGCAGUGAAGGUGACCCAGCUGAGGACUAACCACAUAAAGCCCAUGAUGGACUCAACACCAAAUGGGCACAGGCCCCAUCCACACUCGGCCCCCCACAGCCUUCUCCACACCCCACCUGCAACAGACUCAGCACAGCGAACAUGCAGAUUCUGGAAGGUUCUCAGGUCUUUAUUUGCUCUCUCAAAUUCCAGGAAUUGACUUAUUUAAUUAAUCCAUCAACC
rnacentral:lncRNA from 10 species